rnacentral:rRNA from 1 species
UACGGGGGGGGCAAGCGUUGUUCGGAAUUACUGGGCGUAAAGGGCUCGUAGGUGGCCAACUAAGUCGGACGUGAAAUCCCUCGGCUUAACCGGGGAACUGCGUCCGAUACUGGCGGGCUUGAAUUCGGGAGAGGGAUGUGGAAAUCCAGGUGUAGCGGUGAAAUGCGUAGAUAUCGGGAGGAACAUCAGUGGCGAAGGCGGCUACCUGGCCCAAUACUGACACUCAGGUGCGACAGCGUGGGGAGCAAACAGG